AAUCAACGCUGGCGGCGUGCCUAACACAUGCAAGUCGAGCGAGAAAGUGGAGCAAUCCAUGAGUAAAGCGGCGACCGGGUGAGUAACACGUGACUAACCUACCUUCGAGUGGGGAAUAACUCCGGGAAACCGGGGCUAAUACCGCAUAACAUCGAAAGAUCAAAGCAGCAAUGCGCUUGAAGAGGGGGUCGCGGCUGAUUAGCUAGUUGGCGGGGUAACGGCCCACCAAGGCGAAGAUCGGUAUCCGGCCUGAGAGGGCGCACGGACACACUGGAACUGAAACACGGUCCAGACUCCUACGGGAGGCAGCAGUGGGGAAUAUUGCGCAAUGGGCGAAAGCCUGACGCAGCGACGCCGCGUGAGGGAUGAAGGCCUUCGGUU
rnacentral:rRNA from 1 species